AUUGGUUCAUUUGGGUUUUUCCAUAACAUCUUAUGAAAAACCUGAACAGACUUUUGG
ensembl:miRNA